UACGGGGGGGGCAAGCGUUGUUCGGAAUUACUGGGCGUAAAGGGCUCGUAGGCGGCCAACUAAGUCGGACGUGAAAUCCCUCGGCUUAACCGGGGAACUGCGUCCGAUACUGGAUGGCUUGAGUUCGGGAGAGGGAUGCGGAAUUCCAGGUGUAGCGGUGAAAUGCGUAGAUAUCUGGAGGAACACCGGUGGCGAAGGCGGCAUCCUGGACCGACACUGACGCUGAGGAGCGAAAGUCAGGGGAGCAAACGGG
rnacentral:rRNA from 1 species